rnacentral:rRNA from 1 species
CCCUUAGAUGUUCUGGGCUGCACCCGUGCUACACUGGCAGGUUCAGCGAGCUUCAUGCCCUGAUCUGAAAGGAAUGGGAAAUCUUUUCAAAACCUGCCGUGCUUGGGAUAGAUGUUUGCAAUUAUUCAUCUUCAACGAGGAUUGCCUUGUAAGCGCACGUCAUCAGCGUGCAUUGAAUACGACCCUGUAUUCUGUAUACACCGCCCGUCGCUCCUACCGAUUGAAGUUUUCGGUGAGUUGACAGGAGGAUUUUUUUGAAACUGGUUCGCCAGUGGAUUUUAGAUCCAAAUGCCAACGAAUCGAUGGCUUUAGAGGAAGGAGAAGUCGUAACA